rnacentral:lncRNA from 1 species
GUGGGAACCCUCCGGGCAGUAACUGGGCAUCAGGCUCUUACCUUGGAGGUGGAGGGGUGAGAAGAAUGGAGGAAGAAGGGAUAAGUCAGAGGAGGGCCUGAACAACUAGCCCCUCUUGUGGCCUGCUUUGGCCUAUUUCCUGUUUUCUGAAGUCAACUAAGAGAAGAAGGUGGAAAACACACAGCAUUGGAUCUGGUCAUGUCAGCACACACCUGUAACCCCAGCACUCUAAGGCAGGGGCAGGGGGAUCACCUUGAGUUUCAGGCUAGCCAGUGCUACCUAGUGAAACCUCAUCUGAGGAAAAGAAGAGCCAACUUUUCCAGCCACUAAAGACAAAGUCACAAUAUCAUAAUCUAGUGACCUCUGCUCCUUCUAGUCCUACCUUCUGCCAAGCAUCUCUAAAACUGAUAUCCUCAGGGACAGAAUAACGAAGUGAAAUGCAUUCCUUC